rnacentral:rRNA from 1 species
AUUGAACGCUGGCGGCAUGCCUUACACAUGCAAGUCGAACGGUAACGCGGGGCAACCUGGCGACGAGUGGCGAACGGGUGAGUAAUAUAUCGGAACGUGCCCAGUAGUGGGGGAUAGCCCGGCGAAAGCCGGAUUAAUACCGCAUACGACCUACGGGUGAAAGCGGGGGACCGCAAGGCCUCGCGCUAUUGGAGCGGCCGAUAUCAGAUUAGGUAGUUGGUGGGGUAAAGGCCUACCAAGCCGACGAUCUGUAGCUGGUCUGAGAGGACGACCAGCCACACUGGGACUGAGACACGGCCCAGACUCCUACGGGAGGCAGCAGUGGGGAAUUUUGGACAAUGGGCGCAAGCCUGAUCCAGCCAUGCCGCGUGCGGGAAGAAGGCCUUCGGGUUGUAAACCGCUUUUGUCAGGGAAGAAAUCCUUUGAGCCAAUACCUCGAGGGGAUGACGGUACCUGAAGAAUAAGCACCGGCUAACUACGUGCCAGCAGCCGCGGUAAUACGUAGGGUGCGAGCGUUAAUCGGAAUUACUGGGCGUAAAGCGUGCGCAGGCGGUUUUGUAAGACAGAGGUGAAAUCCCCGGGCUUAACCUGGGAACUGCCUUUGUGACUGCAAGGCUUGAGUGCGGCAGA